GGGUCAGUAGGUUGGUCGUGCCACCGGUACGUACUGGUCUCACUGAUUCCUCCUUCCUGAAGAGCCGUAAUGCCAUUAAUUUGGUGUUGCGGGGAAACAGGACUGUUACUUUGAAAAAAUUAGAGUGUUUAAAGCAAGCUAACGCUUGAAUACAUUAGCAUGGAAUAAUGAAAUAGGACGAUCGAUCCUAUUUUGUUGGUUUCUAGGAUUGACGUG
rnacentral:rRNA from 1 species